CUGGUGAGGCCGACGCCGAGCCAACUG
rnacentral:SRP_RNA from 1 species